ACUGAACACGAUUCGCACAGGUAGUUCGUCCAACAGUCUCCAACAGACAAGAGUGAGAACGGUCCAUGUGAGAGUUUCAUCAUCCUUUAUUUUACAUAAAUCACAUCUUUCAGGUAAAUCAAUAAAACUACAAAAAAAAAAAGAAAGAGGACUUACGAAUUUUGGAAGUUGAUCGAUAACAUAUUGAUUGAAUUGAGAACAUCGACAACGAAUUUGAAGAAUGAUCGAUCGAAUAAAACUCGUCGUAAGUAGGGGUGUUUCGUGGUUCAGAAAGGAAAGGAACAAGAGGAUGAGAAUUUAAACGAAAU